AACGAACGCUGGCGGCAUGCCUAACACAUGCAAGUCGAACGAUGCCUUCGGGCAUAGUGGCGCACGGGUGCGUAACGCGUGGGAAUCUGCCUUUCGGUUCGGAAUAACUCAGGGAAACUUGAGCUAAUACCGGAUAACGUCGCAAGACCAAAGAUUUAUCACCGAAAGAUGAGCCCGCGUAGGAUUAGCUAGUUGGUGAGGUAAAGGCUCACCAAGGCGACGAUCCUUAGCUGGUCUGAGAGGAUGAUCAGCCACACUGGGACUGAGACACGGCCCAGACUCCUACGGGAGGCAGCAGUGGGGAAUAUUGGACAAUGGGCGAAAGCCUGAUCCAGCAAUGCCGCGUGAGUGACGAAGGCCUUAGGGUUGUAAAGCUCUUUUACCCGGGAAGAUAAUGACGGUACCGGGAGAAUAAGCCCCGGCUAACUCCGUG
rnacentral:rRNA from 1 species